UUUAUAAACUCGGUCCUGUAAUAAGACCUGUAGUUACCAGAGUAAAGUAUUAAACGUAAAGCUGGAUAAGGGGAAAUUAAUUAUAAUGUAGCAGUUUGGUUUUAAACAAUGCUGUAUUUGAACUGCAAGGUUGUGAGGUCGGAUGGGGGGUAUAUUUUAAAGAGUCAGUGGGAAAUUUGGGAGGCAGCUCAGCCCCUGAAUGCCUGGACUCUCUCAGUAAGAUUCAGAAUUCCCCCAUAAAGAAAGAGGGGCCAAUGGCUAUCUCUCUGAGAGCCUGAGUUAGGUAACACUCCUGGUCUACCUUGAAACCCUGUAAGGUCCACCUUACAACUACUGACCCUUUUGUGAGUGUAUCACACCUCUUCUGACAGGACAAGAUCCAGUUUCCUUACAUACCAGAAGUCGGCCUAAAUAGUGCCCAAUUUUCUGCAUACCAUGCCCAGAGUGGUGAAGUGUUUGAUCCUCCAAAUCUCUACGGAUGGAAAAGUGCUACACCUGCUUGAAGAGUUUCAAGUCUGUAGUCCGUGCUUUCAAACUUAGUCUCCCCAGAGGCUCCAGCAAACUGAGAGCAACCUCAUCUGCUCUUGAGAAAGAGAAAGAAAAGACAGGAACUAGUCCAACAGUUGAACUGCACUGAAUAGUUUAAUGCUACCCUUUUAACAGCUGGAAAUUUUUCAUGGAAUUGUUCCAACCACUCCUCAACUUGGGAAAAAAUCAUUCAGGAACCUUCUGCCUUACAAGCAAUUCAUAACCCCUGGCAAAGUUGAAUCUAAAAAAUAUACAACGUGCCUAUGAGUCAUCCUUAAAAUACUUUUCUUCAAUAAGCUUCUGUAAUGGGGAAAAAUUAUCAUUCCACACAAGCUUCUGAGACUUGUUACCACUUUGCAGAUUGAAUAACCCUUGGAGACAAGGCAAUCUACGGGCUAGACAGCCUGGAAACAGCUUCCAGACCAAUCAGCUGCUGGGAAACAGUUUUUGGCCCAAUCACCCACCUGGAAACUGUACAUGGACCACUCGCUGUCUUCUAAGAACCACUUCUCCUAAAAUCUGCCACUGCUGCCUUGCAAACCAAACCAGAGAGAGAAAAUAUACCUGAAUUAUUUCUACACUGACCUUGUGAGUCCCAGCCCAUCUGUGCCCUUUUGACAAGUGCUUCGAACUCCAUGCCCCUCAGUGGAAUUCAUUCUGUAUUGAAUAAUUUUUUGGCCAAGCCCUAUCCUUUGUGGAAAGAGGUAAGGAAUAAAUACAUUUAAGAAUGUAUCA
rnacentral:lncRNA from 1 species